AUGGUCUUUGAAUCAAGCGAUCAUGCUCGCAAGAAUCAGUACAGCGGCACUGUAGCAAGCCUGGGGCCCGGGGCGUCUCGCUGGGCUGGCUCCGCCCCUGGUAGCAUGUAUGUAAGAGCUUGCUGCACCCUGUGCCAGCUCACCCGAGUUCGAGUCCUGGCUCAGAUGCGCGGUGCUCGUGGAGUUUCUCUUAUAAAAAUGCCAACGAGGGUUAGCCUUUCGGUUAGCACAAUGGCCGGCUGGAGGAAGGCGUGGCUGUCCGUGCUGGACCGGAACGGCGGCGGCGGCGGGGGCAGCAGCGGCUCCCUCCCGGCGCACCUCAACGGCCUCCUCUCCUCGUCCUCCUCCUCCUCCUCCUCCUCCUCCUCCCUCGCCACCGCCCACAACGUACUCGCCUACCUCCCCGUCCACUACCCCGUGACCAGGCUGCCCCAUCCACCCAAGCCGGAUGCAAUUCAAAAUUCAACGCAGCUGCAGCUGCAUCGACCGGCGGAACCACGUCCUCCCCAUCGCCGCGCCUGGAUCUCAAGAUUUCUUCAUGAUUCACCAAUGAAUCUCGAGGAAGGGGAGGAGGACGACGAGUGUGGGGGCAGAGGGACAUAUGGCGUUACCGAUUCUCCUUCCUCAAGUUCUGCAUCUCAAGUUCAUGUCCCGGAUAUUGACAACACCGACAGUCACAGAGAACCCCCAUCUGAAUCGCAGCGCACUCCAACUCCGUGGCCUCAAAGAAUUUUUGUUAUUGAGGAGUUGUCGGUUGAUGUUACAAGACCUCCCGUUAUGAUCAGCGAUCAUAAACAUAGUCUGACUCGGCAAGAUACCCGACCACCGCGCCUCAUUAUUGGGAAGGAAAAGUGCUUUGGAGAAGGCCAUGAGAAAUUACGCAGAUCGGGCAAAGCCUACAAUCUCUCGUGCGGUGUCCGUGGACAGCUUUUGUUCAUUACCCUUGAAGUGCGUCCCAGGUCGGAGAUCGCCAGAGGAGGAAGACGGCGGCGAGUGUUCCUACACGUCGCUUCUUCGUCCUCAAGCCAAGAUGGAGAGAAAUCUGCUAGUGACGCAGAAUCUGAAGUUCCGGAGGCCACGCCAGACUUCUGGCCUUCCAACUCCGUGGUUCGGAAGGAAACCUAUUGGUGGCUGAUGGUUGUAGGGUGGCUUGGGUUACAAGAUGAGGUCGCAACUGAACUGCAUGACCAAGAUAUGCCUGUCAUACCAGGAGCAACUAUUCUAUCAAGCUCAAUGAAUGUAGUACCACGCAAGAGGGGUCGAAGUAGGCCAAUGAACGCAAGAGCAAAGCUAGGUUAUGAGAAUGUCAGCAAGGGAAGAUCAAAGUUUUGUUCUAUUUGCAGAGGGUCAAUGCACUUUGAACCAAUGUGUCUGGUACAUCACCAUAUGUACCCCGAAUAUGGAUCUCUUGCACUUGACCAUGAAGAGCUUUAA
rnacentral:rRNA from 1 species